UGGGGAAUAUUGCACAAUGGGCGAAAGCCUGAUGCAGCAACGCCGCGUGAGUGAUGAAGGCCUUCGGGUUGUAAAGCUCUGUCUUUUGGGACGAUAAUGACGGUACCAAAGGAGGAAGCCACGGCUAACUACGUGCCAGCAGCCGCGGUAAUACGUAGGUGGCAAGCGUUGUCCGGAUUUACUGGGCGUAAAGGAUGCGUAGGCGGAUUUUUAAGUGAGAUGUGAAAUACCCGGGCUUAACUUGGGUGCUGCAUUUCAAACUGGGAAUCUAGAGUGCGGGAGAGGAGAAUGGAAUUCCUAGUGUAGCGGUGAAAUGCGUAGAGAUUAGGAAGAACACCAGUGGCGAAGGCGAUUCUCUGGACCGUAACUGACGCUGAGGCAUGAAAGCGUGGGUAGCAAACAGGAUUAGAUACCCUGGUAGUCCACGCCGUAAACGAUGAGUACUAGGUGUAGGAGGUAUCGACCCCUUCUGUGCCGCAGUUAACACAAUCAAGUACUCCGCCUGGGGAAGUACGAUCGCAAGAUUAAAAACUC
rnacentral:rRNA from 1 species